UGGGGAAUUUUCCGCAAUGGGCGAAAGCCUGACGGAGCAAUACCGCGUGAGGGAGGAAGGCUCUUGGGUCGUAAACCUCUUUUCUUGGGGAAGAACACAAUGACGGUACCUAAGGAAUAAGCUUCGGCUAACUCCGUGCCAGCAGCCGCGGUAAUACGGAGGAUGCAAGCGUUAUCCGGAAUGAUUGGGCGUAAAGCGUCCGCAGGUGGCUAUGAAAGUCUGCUGUUAAAGAGUCUAGCUCAACUAGAUACAAGCAGUGGAAACUACAUAGCUAGAGUACGUUGGGGGCAAAGGGAAUUCCUGGUGUAGCGGUGAAUUGCGUAAAGAUCAAGAAGAACACCGGUGGCGAAGGCCCUCUGCUGG
rnacentral:rRNA from 1 species